rnacentral:rRNA from 1 species
GAUCCUGGCUCAGGAUGAACGCUGGCGGCGUGCUUAACACAUGCAAGUCGAGCGAAGCACUUAAGUUUGAUUCUUCGGAUGAAGACUUUUGUGACUGAGCGGCGGACGGGUGAGUAACGCGUGGGUAACCUGCCUCAUACAGGGGGAUAACAGUUAGAAAUGACUGCUAAUACCGCAUAAGACCACGGUACCGCAUGGUACAGUGGUAAAAACUCCGGUGGUAUGAGAUAGACCCGCGU